AUUGAACGCUGGCGGCAUGCCUUACACAUGCAAGUCGAACGGCAGCACGGGAGCAAUCCUGGUGGCGAGUGGCGAACGGGUGAGUAAUAUAUCGGAACGUGCCCAGUCGUGGGGAUAACGUAGCGAAAGCUACGCUAAUACCGCAUACGAUCUAUGGAUGAAAGCGGGGGAUCGCAAGACCUCGCGCGAUUGGAGCGGCCGAUAUCAGAUUAGGUAGUUGGUGAGGUAAAGGCUCACCAAGCCGACGAUCUGUAGCUGGUCUGAGAGGACGACCAGCCACACUGGGACUGAGACACGGCCCAGACUCCUACGGAGGCAGCAGUGGGGGAAUUUUUGGGACAAUGGGCGCAAGCCUGAUCCAGCAAUGCCGCGUGCAGGAUGAAGGCCUCGGUUGUAACUA
rnacentral:rRNA from 1 species